CCUCCCCUAGUUCCGGCGCGUCGGCUGGGGGCGACUGAGGCCCCGAGCAGGUGCCUCGUGGCGGGUGGGUGCCGCGAGCUUCUGAGGGGCACCGCGGGAUGCUCCGGAGCUGAGAGCGGGGAGGCUGGCUGGCUUCCUCAGGCAGUCGGCUGGAGAUGCAGGCGGCGGAGCCAUUUGGACCUAGCAGCUUGCCGCUGCCUGUAGCUCUCCGACUCCCCCUAAAGCCACUUCAGCCAGAGCAGCCGCGGGAAUCAAGGCGGUGAUGAUGGGCGUAGACACGGGCUGCUCGGGAAGACCAGCGAUGCUUUAAGUGCAGGGAAGAAUACUUCUGAUCUUGGAUCAAGAAUGAAACACAAUGCAUUUUUGGCAGCAGUGCAAUCUUGCUUGGAGAGUGACCAUUCUGCUACAAUGCCACACUAGACUUCACAUGGCAGUGGCUGAUGUAUCUCAGCUUGAUUAUUAACAAUAUCAGGAAAAAAGAAAUGUUUCACCACCGUCAUAAUAUAUCUGGACCUCUCAAGACAACAAGAGUGUGUGUGCUAGAAGGAGACAGCAUGUUUUUCUGAACAACACAGAGCUCUAUCCCAUGGACUGUGGGCCCCACUGGAGAGAUCUAAGGAAUAUCUGUCAAAGGUGCUUGAAAUGACCCUUGCAAGAUCACAUAGUCAGUUCAGUGUGGGAGCCUUGCUUGUCUUAACUGUAUUAUAUCUUCAGUUUUAACAAUGCUGUGAUGACUUUUUCAUACAUUUAUAGGUGCAAUGUAAGCUUCAGCUGUUUGCAAAAGGAAAUGGAGGGUUUACGGACCUUACCAUGCAGCCUGCAUUUGACAUUUGCCACUAUUUGCAGUGGCCUACAGUAGCCAUGUGACCUUUAUCUUGCUUUUUCUACAGCCCUAAGAGGCAUCCUGAGGAGGAAUUCCUUGCACCUCCCGAGUUUUCUAUAACGCAAGGCAUUGGCCAAGUAUUGCCAUGAUGUGUGAGGUGAUGCCUACCAUCAGCGAGAGUGACCCCUUGGGGUCACAGCCAGGCUCUGAUGCUGAUGCCAACUUUGAGCAGCUGAUGGUGAACAUGCUUGAUGAGAGAGACAAGCUGCUAGAGACUCUUCGGGAAACACGUGAGACUCUAUCUGUGACUCAGGGCCGGCUACAGGAGACCUUGCAUGAGCGAGACCAGUUGCAGAGGCAACUGAACUCUGCUCUACCUCAGGAAUUUGCAACAUUGACAAGGGAACUCAAUGCAUGUCGAGAGCAGCUUCUGGAAAGGGAAGAGGAGAUCUCGGAGCUGAAAGCAGAACGGAAUAACACAAGGCUUUUGUUGGAGCAUCUGGAGUGCCUGGUCUCAAGGCACGAACGCUCUCUGAGGAUGACUGUGGUGAAACGGCAGGCUCAGUCUCCAUCUGGUGUCUCCAGUGAAGUUGAAGUUCUGAAAGCACUGAAAUCUUUGUUUGAACACCAUAAAGCAUUAGAUGAGAAGGUGAGAGAGCGCUUGCGGGCAGCACUGGAACGAGUGGCUACACUAGAAGAACAGCUUUCCAGUGCUCACCAGCAGGUAAGUGCUCUCCAGCAAGGCCCCUCCCAGAGGGAAGCUCCAGUGGGAGAAGAUGAUAAAAGAACUGAGGGCAAAGAACCUGGGCAGAAGAUUCUUUGGAAGAGACUUCCUAAUGGCUCUAUACAUCCAGAUGAUGAGGCAAGCCGGGCUGUGGAACUACAGGAGCUCCUAGAGAAGCAAAACUUUGAGCUAGCGCAAGCUAAAGAACGGAUAGCUACUCUGGCUGCUAGCAUUGCCGAGCUGGAAGAAGAUCUAAGUACUGCCAGGAGGGACUUAAUCAAAUCUGAAGAAAUGAGCAGCAAAUACCAGAGGGAUCUACGAGAGGCUUUGGCACAGAAAGAAGACAUGGAAGAGAGGAUCACCACCUUGGAGAAACGCUAUCUGGCAGCUCAGAGAGAAGCCACUUCCAUUCAUGACCUCAAUGAUAAACUGGAGAAUGAGCUGGCUAAUAAAGAGUCUCUCCAUCGCCAGUGUGAGGAAAAGGCACGGCACCUCCAGGAGCUUCUAGAACUGGCAGAGCAGAAACUGCAGCAGACAAUGCGGAAAGCAGAGACGCUGCCUGAAGUUGAAGCUGAACUGGCCCAAAGGAUAGCAGCAUUGACCAAGGCAAAGGAGAGACAUGGCAGUAUUGAAGAGCGACUGCGGCAGCUAGAGACUCAAUUGGAGGAAAAGAACCAAGAACUGGCAAGGGCCCGUCAGCGGGAGAAAAUGAAUGAGGAACAUAACAAGCGGCUGUCUGAUACUGUGGACAGACUGCUAAGUGAGUCCAAUGAGCGGCUUCAGCUUCACUUGAAAGAGCGGAUGGCAGCCCUGGAAGAGAAGAAUACAUUAUUGCAAGAACUGGAAAAUACACAAAAACAGAUCGAGGAGCAGCAGCAUGAUAAGAGAAGGCUGUCAGAUGAAAUCGACAAGUUGAGAUUAGAAAUUGACCAGUUAAAGACAAGAAGUGGAUCUUUUCUUGACAGUGUACAUACAAGGUCCCUUGUUGGAAGCACUCCAGACCUCAGGUAUCCUCUGAGUACUAUGGUCCAUGCACCAUCUGAGCCCUUUGGAACACCCUCUAGCCUUCACCGGGCACCAAAGAGUCGAUUUGCAGCUCUGCGGGAAGAACCCUCCAAAGAUUGGGAGCUUGCACAGCCAGGUGGGGUUCUGACCGCCACAGCUCACACCUUUGACAGUGACCCAGAGAUCUCCGAUGUUGAUGAGGAUGACCAGGAGACAGUCUUUAGCUCUAUGGACAUGCUGUCUCCCAGUGGUCAUUCUGAUGCCCAGACCCUUGCCAUGAUGCUGCAGGAACAGCUGGAUGCCAUCAAUGAGGAGAUCAGAAUGAUCCAGGAGGAGAAAGAAUCCACAGAGCUGCGUGCUGAGCAGCUGGAGAGCCGCGUCACUAGUGGUAGCAUGGAGGCCCUGAAUCUAACACAGCUCCGCAAGAGAGCAUCCAUCCCCACCUCCCUGACUGCCUUGUCUUUGGCCAGCUCCUCCCCACCAGUCAGUGGGCGUUCCACACCCAAGCUCACUUCUCGAAGUACGGCUCAGGACCUUGAUCGAAUAUGCAGCAUGACCUUGCCCAGUGACUUGAGAAAACAUCGAAGAAAGCUGCUUUCACCAGCUGGUCGAGAUGAGAGUCGAGAAGAUAAAACCACCAUAAAAUGUGAGACUUCUCCUCCUUCCUCACCCAGGACCCUGCGGCUGGAGAAGUUUGGACAUCCUGCUCUAAGUCAGGAGGAAGGCAAGAGUGCUUUGGAGGACCAGGCAAGUAACCCCAGCAGCAGUAACAGCAGCCAGGACUCCCUACACAAAGGCUCCAAAAGGAAAGGCAUCAAAUCCUCUAUUGGACGCUUAUUUGGAAAGAAGGAGAAAGGACGCUUGAUCCAGCUGAGCAGAGACAGUGCUACUGGGCAAGUUAUGCUGACAGAUUCAGAGAUCAACAUCCAGGAUUCUCUUGGUCUUGGCAAGCUAGGAGCUCAAGCAGAGAAAGACAGGCGACUCAAAAAAAAACAUGAGCUUUUAGAAGAUGCUCGAAGAAGGGGCAUUCCAUUUGCUCAGUGGGAUGGCCCAACUGUAGUUUCUUGGCUGGAGCUUUGGGUGGGCAUGCCUGCCUGGUAUGUGGCAGCCUGCAGAGCCAAUGUGAAGAGUGGUGCCAUCAUGUCUGCCUUGUCAGAUACAGAGAUACAGAGAGAAAUUGGCAUCAGUAAUGCCCUUCACCGGUUAAAACUGCGUCUGGCAAUUCAAGAAAUGGUGUCACUAACAAGCCCUUCUGCUCCUCCCACCUCAAGAACAUCAUCUGGAAAUGUCUGGGUCACACAUGAAGAGAUGGAAACUAUGGCAACUUCAACCAAAACGGAUACUGAGGAAGGCAGUUGGGCACAGACUCUGGCUUAUGGGGACAUGAAUCAUGAAUGGAUAGGGAAUGAAUGGCUUCCCAGUCUGGGUCUCCCACAAUAUCGCAGCUACUUCAUGGAGUGUCUUGUGGAUGCACGAAUGUUGGAUCAUCUAACUAAGAAAGAUCUUCGAGUGCAUCUGAAGAUGGUGGACAGUUUUCAUCGAACAAGUCUGCAGUAUGGUAUUAUGUGCCUGAAGAGACUGAACUAUGAUAGAAAGGAAUUGGAGAGGAGGCGGGAGGAAAGCCAGCAUGAAAUCAAAGAUGUGUUGGUCUGGACCAAUGAUCAAGUCAUUCACUGGAUCCAGUCCAUUGGGCUUAGAGAGUAUGCCAACAACAUCAUUGAAAGUGGAGUCCAUGGAGCUCUCAUAGCUUUGGAUGAAAAUUUUGAUCAUAAUAGUCUGGCACUUGUGUUACAAAUACCCAAUCAGAACACUCAGGCACGGCAGGUGAUGGAGAGAGAAUUCAACAAUCUGCUUGCCUUGGGCACUGAUAGGAGGCUUGAUGAUAGUUGAAAAAAUGUCAUGUGAAAAACAGGUCUGAGAGCAGGAAGCAAAAUGAUCUGGGAGAAAGAUGGGUUGAAGAAGCAUGCUUGUUUAAUUUCCCCAUUUAUAGUGGGUCUGUCAAUUGGAUGCAACGGAUUCUGUAACAUCAAAUCUUUUGAGAUGGAGGGAGGUUCUAAAUGAUGUACAGGUAAGCCUGGAGAUCUCUUGGAGAUUGCAGUACUGGUAAGUAUGUCACAGAUAACUGAGUUGGUAAUCAAGAUCCAUAAUCGCCUCUUCAAGAAUGGAAGCAGAUGUUCUGACUGGCUGGAACAGAAUGGCCAAAUGUACCCUUAGCCCAGAGAAAGCAUACCAGUGUGUGUUUCACAUGUGUAUCUCAACCUUCCUGCAUGGGUUCAGUGGGAUUAUCCCAUUUUAUUAUUUACAACUCUUGUGCUGUAGAAGAAAGAAUGCAACUAGCCCAGCCUUACUCAGUGGUUUUCAUUGUUGAACACAAAUGUGGACCCUGCUUUGGCUGGUCCAAAACCAAAUACACUGCAGUGGCUCAGUAUAAAAGAAGUGGAAAAUACACAGUGUGGAACAAGUGAAUAAAGUUGGAAAUUGAGGGAAGAAGAAACAUCCCCAAAUCCUCCCAUUUUGUCACAAAUCUUUGUUGGUUUUCUGAGAUGGGUGAUGAGUCUGAUAAGUGUGUAAGCAUCAAACCCUGGUGGGUUUCUGAUGCCUGAUACUCAGCAUUUGCCCCUUUCUGACUGUCAGGACAAAUUCAUGAGCCAGAGAGGUAAUGGCAUUUGCCUGAAACAAUAACAUGUUAUGUAGGAUGAAAUAUUCUGGACUCUUUCCCCUCAUCGAUGCAGCCAUUAUGUGAUGGGAGCGGGGAUCAAGGAGGACAUGCCCUUCAUCUGACUAUGUAUAUACACAUGCCACUUCAGGGUGCAACCCUUGUUUUAGCCCAUUUAGCUCAGUGUUUAAGCCUAUUACCUGCUCAGUCCUGAAGCUUCCCUAAGAUACUGCUGUCACUGAGCAGUACUCUUUGCUGCACUUCUAUCCCACAAGUUCAGCACCACAAGAUUUUCAAAUUCCUAUCCAACCCCAGCACAGCAUCCUUCCAAUGGUUGUUGCUGGUGUCUACCUUAUAUUUCCUUUUAGAUUGUGAGCCCUUUGGGACAGGGAAUCACCUUAUUCAUUAUUUAUUUUUCUAUCUAAACUUCUUUGAGCACUUUUGUUGGAAAGCCAUAUAUAAAUAUUUGUAGUAGCAGUAGUAAAAAGAAACAAAAAGAGAGAGCUUCUGUUCCCUUCCUAUUUGGGAACCAUCUCCACCAUUAUAUAAUCCAGUCUCUAAAUAUUUAGAUAGCCAGGAUCAUUCUAAAAGCUUCAUGAUUAAUAAUCCUGAUGGUGGGAAUUAAUGUCACCUAAAAUCUAGGUCCUCUCCAAAAGUUUGCUUAUUGCUGCAUCCAGGAAUUCUUGGAGCUACUGCUCUGUGUGUUGAACCACUUGAAGCUUCAGAUUAUAGAUGCUUCCCUAUGCUGUGAUAUGUUCACAGACUCCAGGACGACUCUAGCCAUGCAGGCAGCCUAUUGGUUCCCCCUGGCCUGGAAGGAAUAUAAAGGAUUCCAUGUUGGGCAGAAACUUGUUUUGAGCAGCCACAGCUCUAUUGUGUCUUCAAGGUCUGGUUACUAGUGCCCAAAUGCCCAGCACUAUUUUCCAGCUCAACUCUCAACUGAAUUGUCUGAAUAUGGGUGCAUUUCUGCUUACCUUUCUCAGAGGCCUCUGUUCAUCUACUCCAAAGGUUAUUAAAGUACUAUACUGAACAUGAGCUUUCUUACAACCAUAUCUGAGCUCCUCGAACCAUAAGAAGGAGGAAUUUGGUAAUGGAGGGGUUGCCCUUUUAUAGUUAGACUCAACCACAAUUCUACUGCCACUUUAAAAACAGUUGAAGACCAAAUUUUAAAAAAUGCAUGGAGUGUGUGGAACAUUCCACCAAUGUCAUAUACAGUGCAUAAACCAAAACUUCAAUAGUUGAAAAGUGUACAUCAUAGAGUCAUCUUCUCUUUUGGAAAUUGUACUGGGUGAUGACAAGACUUUUCGGCGAACUCCUUCCUGGAGAAAACGUUUCCGCCCACGAGAAUUUCACAGCAUCAACAUGCUCAGUGGGUCAGCAGAGACACUCCCAGCAGGGUUCCGAGUGAC